GUGACUCCCACUCUUCGCUUACCGGAGUAGCAUGUUCAAGUUUUUAGACUAUAUAAAUCAAUUAAGUAAUAUAUUUUUUUAAAUCCUGGCGCCAGUUAUUCAGUCUGUCUACUUAAAAGUUAAUUUUAAAGCCAACGGGGCAUGACGUGAUGCGUGUCCUUAGAGUUAAGAGGUAGAGAAAUAAGAAUCAGAUCCCGAAAAGCAGGAAAUUUGGCUUGGCCUGUGAGGCGGUGCUGCCACCCUGUGUCUGCUCAGACCCAAAGACCACUAGCCUCAGUUGUGGGCAUUUGACAGCCAAAUCCUGGUCGCUGUGGCUCCGGCCUAGUGUCCAAAAUGUUUUUCUGAAGUGUUAGGAAGAAACAUUAGCCAUUCUAAAGAAGAAAUGGGUGGGUGGGUUUUUUUAAUCGCCGAGAGCACUUCUUUCUCGUUGAAUUUCUGUGUUAUGCUGAAGGGAGGACAUGAGAAAAGAACAAAAUUGCAAUUUGUUUUCUACCUUUUACUGCUGUGGUAAAAGAUUAAGUAGUAUGGCAUGGAAUUAUGAGGUUAGAUAUCACCUUUAUAUGUUUAAUUCUUACCAAUCCAAUUCCUCUUGAUAUUGGACAGCACAGACUUCAUAUAUUUUCAGAUUGGUUACCAUUUCAAGUUGCAACACAGAAACUUAGAACUUACAAACCCAAAACUGCAUCUUUGAACAGCAAUUAAUGGGAGAGAACUAGAGCACAAUUUGACCAUUAUCAUAGGAGGAGGAGGGAACUUGAACAAGUGUAAAAACCAACAUAAACGGAGCCACUUUAAAAUGGAACUGAAGCUGCCAUCCCAGAGGAGCUGCCUUGCAUGUCUUAUGCCCCAAACUUUUGGAAUGUUAAAACAGGACAAAAUAACCUUUGGACUAGGACAAAAAGAACUGUUGGCAAAGAACAAGAAAGCAGACAUUGUAAGACUGAUGGCUACCAGACCAAAAAUUAAAAAUCUGUAAUAUUAGUGUCAUUAUGUUACCUUAUGUUUCCUUCUAUUGAUGUAAUUGUUCCCCUUCCCUUUCUCAUACUCGUUGCCUUUAUCUCUUAAUCAGUUCAUUUGGACCUCUGCCUGAAUCAGUGCUUCCCAAGUAGCUAUUCAUUUUUGAUCUCAAAUAAAUAUUUUUUGCCUCUCACUUUGGCCUUUUAUUUCUCAUUUAACAGCAGUAAUGUUCUACUACCUAGCUUUGUUUGGGAUUUUGAUUUACUAAACAAAGAAGGUGCCAUUCAUACAGGGCAGAAAAAUUUCACUGCUUUACUGCUCAUUAAUACCAUUCUUUGUCUCAGAAAACAUCUGCCGUUUUAAAACUUGCAACCAGAUAUUUCUUUAAAGAAUACUGUAUAGCAAUAUAUCCCAAACUGGCAAUCUCCAAGACCAAGCAUAAACAUUUAAGCAAGUCUAUAUUAAAAGUUAAACAUUGUCCCUUUGGGCAGUAAACUUGGUACCAAAAAUGAAUAGAAAUAUAAUGCAAGUUCAGGUAUCUUCUGCUUUUCCAUUUUGCUUUUACAAAAUACCUACAUUAGUACCUGUUUUCGCUAACUGAAAGAAAUCUGAAGAUUUUCACUUUUUUGAAAAAGUGAAGUAAAAGUGUUCAGCAUUUGUUUUCCAGCAGGUUGUUG